AGUAAGCGGGAAGAGCUCAAGCUUAAAAUCUCCGUGCAAGUUUUGCGCGGCGAAUUGUAGUCUAUAGAGGCGUGGUCAGCGUGAGCACUUGGGGCAAGUUCCUUGGAAGAGGACAGCAUGGAGGGUGAUACUCCCGUUCAUCCCUGAGUUGCUCGUGCGUACGACCCGUUUUCUUUGAGUCGCGUUGUUUGGGAAUGCAGCGCAAAGUAGGUGGUAAAUUCCAUCUAAAGCUAAAUAUUGGUGCGAGACCGAUAGCGAACAAGUACCGUGAGGGAAAGAUGAAAAGAACUUUGAAAAGAGAGUUAAAGAGUACCUGAAACUGCUGAAAGGGAACCGAAUCGUUUCCAGUGUCUAUAAUCUGUGGCAUAUUUCAUUGGCGAGUGUGUGCGUGCGUGUGCUGUGGCAGUGGCUUUUUUGGCUGCGCUCGGUGUGUGUGCUGUGUGUGCUUGCUGGUGCCCUGUGCUGCGGUGGGACGUCAAGGUCAGUUCGUAUGCUGCGGGAAAUGGCUGCCGAGGAGGUAGGGCUUACGCUUGCGUUUGUCUGUUAUAUCUUGGUGGACGAGUAGUCGCGGUUGGGACUGAGGUGCCUACAACGUGCUUUUGAGUGUGUCUGUGUCUCCGUGUGCGCCGUGUGCGGAUAGCUUGCUAUGCGUGUGUGGUUGUGUGUGGAUUGAUGCGGGCUUUAACUUGUUGCCGUUCGGGACGUUGACGAAAUGGAGCGAUCCGACCCGUCUUGAAACACGGACCAAGGAGUCUAACAUGUGUGCAAGUGUUAGGGUGUGGAAACCCCAGCGCGAAAUGAAAGUGAAGGGCAGCGCAAGUUGUCUGAGGUAGGAAACGUUGUGGGCUUCGGUCUGCGGCGUGGCACUAUCGACCGAUCAUGAACCUUCGUGGUGAAAGAUUUGAGUUUGAGCACAUAUGUUGGUACCCGAAAGAUGGUGAACUAUGCCU
rnacentral:rRNA from 1 species